GAAGGCCUCUGGGCUGUAAACCUCUUUUUAUCAAGGAAGAAGAUCUGACGGUACUUGAUGAAUAAGCCACGGCUAAUUCCGUGCCAGCAGUCGCGGUAAUACGGGAGUGGCAAGCGUUAUCCGGAAUUAUUGGGCGUAAAGCGUCCGCAGGCGGCCCUUCAAGUCUGCUGUUAAAAAGUGGAGCUUAACUCCAUCAUGGCAGUGGAAACUGUUGGGCUUGAGUGUGGUAGGGGCAGAGGGAAUUCCCGGUGUAGCGGUGAAAUGCGUAGAUAUCGGGAAGAACACCAGUGGCGAAGGCGCUCUGCUGGGCCAUCACUGACGCUCAUGGACGAAAGCCAGGGGAGCGAAAGGGAUUAGAUACCCCUGUAGUCCUGGCCGUAAACGAUGAACACUAGGUGUCGGGGGAAUCGACCCCCUCGGUGUCGUAGCCAACGCGUUAAGUGUUCCGCCUGGGGAGUACGCACGCAAGUGUGAAACUCAAAGGAAUUGACGGA
rnacentral:rRNA from 1 species